rfam:Danio rerio chromosome 4, GRCz11 reference primary assembly.
GUCUCUAUGGCGCAAUCGGUGAGUACGUUUGGCUGUUAACUGAAAGGUUGGUGGUUCAAGCCCACCCAGUGACG